CAGUUUUAGUGGGUGAUAGCCACCGUUCUCAUCUCAAUCAGCCGUGCUAAUCCCCCAAUAACUGUCCCUUUCCCUUAUUUUCAUUUUAAGUAAAUGCCCGAAGACCAAGGAUCUUGGCAGAUUUAAACGAUUAAGUUCUGAGCCGGAUCGCGUGUGGGAAAUGUUCGAUGUGAAACGUGCUUGUGGGAGAAGUUGAAAUGGAAGUGAGCCAGUAUGACAGUCUCAGCAUCCAGAACAAUUUGUGCAGACAGCAGGGCUCUGGCUAUGUAUAACACGGAUAGACACCGUCACUGCUGUUCAAUAUAUAAACUUGUGGGGACUGCUUUCGCUGGACACCUGUGCUUUAAAAAAAAAAUCUGCUUCAAAUAAAUAUCCAAAGACAGGAACCUCUCUUGAGUCUUAAUUUUCCUGCCACUGGACACUGCGGAUACUGCAGGUUAGCUGUAUUAAAUGCAUUUUCAACUUAUGAUAUUUUCGAUUGAAAAAGGUUUAUCGGAUUGUAACCCCAUCGUAAGUUGAGGAACACCUGUAAUUGCCAUUUUAUUUCCCCGAAACCCUUAAGAUAGAUGCCCCUUCACUAACUCAAAUUUCUUGUCAUUUUUAAUCUCGCUGUAGACUUGUGGCUCUCUAUUCGGUAAUCUAGGCCACAAAAUCUCCAAGAUUGGUACAUUGCCCCAACACUGGUCUAUUUUUCUUCUCCCACUUUAUUUGCCCCACCAUUGGUGGUUAUGCCUUCAGACCUCCAGCGACUGAACUCCUGAGUUCUCUUUCCUAAUUUCAUUUGUUGUCUGAUUGUAGUCUUGUGAAUCAGUUUAUCAGGUUAAACACACAAUUAUAGUGUUCUUAAAAGGUUUCUAUGAAAAUUAAAGUUGAACAAUCUAAACUACAACCGUCCAAGUUCAACCUAGAAAAACAAAUGUCAGCAAUAACUGAACAAUUGAAAGCAAAAAUUAUUUGUAUUCCGUACAAUAUGAACGUUCAUUUAAAUGUACUGUGAAAACCAGAACAAGGGGUUGCUACACAAUUCUUUUUUUACAAUAUUUGUAACAGAAACCUUGUCGAUUGCCUUUCUGUUCUACUUUAAUGGGUAAACUAAAGUCAGUUUGAGGCUAACCCUUCUUCAUUCUAGACUUUCUAUUGCAGCACUCAAGCAUUGAAUGUUGUGAAGUAUAACUGAAAUAGUAUGAAGGACUAAUGUCAAUUAGUGCCUUGACCACUUACUGCAACACAUUCAAUAUUUCAACCUGGCUACAAAUGAAUACACUACAAAAUGAACAACCAAGGAUGAAUAAUUUGUUGUCCACUUUAAAUUAGAAGACAGUAAGACGCAGAAACAUGGGGAAUUUCCAUAUUGCAGUCAAGCAUCCAUUAUCACAAGAAUUGAAGCUAUAAACCACCUCAGUGUUUACCAUGAAUGGGUACUUUUCUCCUCCAACAUGGAGGUGGAAAAUUCUGGUUGAAACACCUGCUAUCGUUCUACAGACUGAUGCAAGUGCGCUAGGUUGGGGCGCUACUGAUACCAUUACCAGCUGUGGAGGUAGAUGGAAUGUGGAAGAGGUACCUUUGCUCGAAGCACAUGGAAUUAACUACCUAGAAUUGGCGGUAGCAACAUCGGCGGCCAAGGAUUUGG